rnacentral:rRNA from 1 species
GAUGAACGCUGGCGGCGUGCCUAAUACAUGCAAGUCGAGCGAAUGGAUUAAGAGCUUGCUCUUAUGAAGUUAGCGGCGGACGGGUGAGUAACACGUGGGUAACCUGCCCAUAGACUGGGAUAACUCCGGGAAACCGGGGCUAAUACCGGAUAACAUUUUGAACCGCAUGGUUCGAAGUUGAAAGGCGGCUUCGGCUGUCACUUAUGGAUGGACCCGCGUCGCAUUAGCUAGUUGGUGAGGUAACGGCUCACCAAGGCAACGAUGCGUAGCCGACCUGAGAGGGUGAUCGGCCACACUGGGACUGCGACACGGCCCAGACUCCUACGGGAGGCAGCAGUAGGGAAUCUUCCGCAGUGGACGAAAGUCUGACGGAGCAACGCCGCGUGAGUGAUGAAGGCUUUCGGGUCGUAAAACUCUGUUGUUAGGGAAGAACAAGUGCUAGUUGAAUAAGCUGGCACCUUGACGGUACCUAACCAGAAAGCCACGGCUAACUACGUGCCAGCCGCCGCAGUAA